rnacentral:rRNA from 1 species
GGGAGGUAGUGACAAUAAAUAACAAUACGGGGUCCUUUCGGGUUUCGUAAUUGGAAUGAGUACAAUUUAAAUCUCUUAACGAUCAACAAUUGGAGGGCAAGUCUGGUGCCAGCAACCGCGGUAAUUCCAGCUCCAAUAGCGUAUAUUAAAGUUGUUGCAGUUAAAAAGCUCGUAGUUGUAUUUCGGGGUUAGUAGGUUGGUCAUGCCUCUGGUAUGUACUGGUCUCACUGAUUCCUCCUUCCUGACGAACCGUAAUGCCAUUAAUUUGGUGUUGCGGGAAAUUUGGACUGUUACUUUGAAAAAAUUAGAGUGUUUAAAGCAAGCUAACGCUUGAAUACAUUAGCAUGGAAUAAUGAAAUAGGACGUUUGAUCCUAUUUUGUUGGUUUCUAGGAUUGACGUAAUGAUUAAUAGGGAUAGUUGGG